UGCAGUCGAGCGGACAGAUGGGAGCUUGCUCCCUGAUGUUAGCGGCGGACGGGUGAGUAACACGUGGGUAACCUGCCUGUAAGACUGGGAUAACUCCGGGAAACCGGGGCUAAUACCGGAUGCUUGAUUGAACCGCAUGGUUCAAUUAUAAAAGGUGGCUUUUAGCUACCACUUACAGAUGGACCCGCGGCGCAUUAGCUAGUUGGUGAGGUAACGGCUCACCAAGGCAACGAUGCGUAGCCGACCUGAGAGGGUGAUCGGCCACACUGGGACUGAGACACGGCCCAGACUCCUACGGGAGGCAGCAGUAGGGAAUCUUCCGCAAUGGACGAAAGUCUGACGGAGCAACGCCGCGUGAGUGAUGAAGGUUUUCGGAUCGUAAAACUCUGUUGUUAGGGAAGAACAAGUACCGUUCGAAUAGGGCGGUACCUUGACGGUACCUAACCAGAAAGCCACGGCUAACUACGUGCCAGCAGCCGCGGUAAUACGUAGGUGGCAAGCGUUGUCCGGAAUUAUUGGGCGUAAAGCGCGCGCAGGCGGUUUCUUAAGUCUGAUGUGAAAGCCCCCGGCUCAACCGGGGAGGGUCAUUGGAAACUGGGGAACUUGAGUGCAGAAGAGGAGAGUGGAAUUCCACGUGUAGCGGUGAAAUGCGUAGAGAUGUGGAGGAACACCAGUGGCGAAGGCGACUCUCUGGUCUGUAACUGACGCUGAGGCGCGAAAGCGUGGGGAGCGAACAGGAUUAGAUACCCUGGUAGUCCACGCCGUAAACGAUGAGUGCUAAGUGUUAGAGGGUUUCCGCCCUUUAGUGCUGCAGCAAACGCAUUAAGCACUCCGCCUGGGGAGUACGGUCGCAAGACUGAAACUCAAAGGAAUUGACGGGGGCCCGCACAAGCGGUGGAGCAUGUGGUUUAAUUCGAAGCAACGCGAAGAACCUUACCAGGUCUUGACAUCCUCUGACAACCCUAGAGAUAGGGCUUCCCCUUCGGGGGCAGAGUGACAGGUGGUGCAUGGUUGUCGUCAGCUCGUGUCGUGAGAUGUUGGGUUAAGUCCCGCAACGAGCGCAACCCUUGAUCUUAGUUGCCAGCAUUCAGUUGGGCACUCUAAGGUGACUGCCGGUGACAAACCGGAGGAAGGUGGGGAUGACGUCAAAUCAUCAUGCCCCUUAUGACCUGGGCU
rnacentral:rRNA from 1 species